UUUUCGUUUGAAGUGGUCCAGGUAAGCAUAACAAGUUACUAGUAUGCAACCUGGUCCUUUUGCACAUACUUUAAAACCACGACCCAGUGGACCAUGUGGUCCUGAAAUUUUUGCAGGGCAAUAAAUACAUAUGUAUGUACAUAUAUAU